UUCUUUAGAAAAAAAGGUGGGCAUGUUUGGGAAAAUUUCAGUUUUCAAAUUCGAGAAUGAGUUGUAGGUAGCUACUUUCAUAUGCACAGGGUACUAUUAUUGGAAUUUAGGAUACCAUUUUAUAGUGCAUGUGAGGCUUAUACUUUUCUUAUUACUAGAAGUUAUGUCCAUGAAUGUUUAAAAUUACCAUGCAUGUCUACCUUACUAGUUUAACCGUGAGACAAAAACAUUAAUGUUCUAUGAAAUAUGAUAGUAAAUGUUAAGAUUUAAACAUAGCUUAAGCUUUUAACUCUUUGGAAAUUAUUUAUCGAAAGUGAGAAUAUACUAUUAUCAAAGGUAUGAUCUCUUAUAAUGGGGGAACAUGUUUAUGAUACAAUAGAUGUUACAUCUUGUUAAAUGUGGUGAUGUGUGACACUGUGAGCAAGGGCUAUGGGUAGAAGUUUUGAUGUUUGUAGGAUGGCAUUCUAGGAGAUGGCUUAAGAGAUUGGUGAAUAGUGAGGAUUUGUGGAACCAAAUCUCAUGAGGUAAAUACUAUAAAGGAAUGGUGCAAAGGAAAUGCUUCACUGGAAGCAUCUUUCAGAGUUAUAGGAUGGAUUUUAGUCCAUGCUGAAAACAUUUGGAAAGUGAAGCAAACUAGACUAUAAAGU
rnacentral:lncRNA from 1 species